GUUGAACGGGAUUUCGGGUAGCAAUAUCUGAAUGAGAGUGGCGCACGGGUGCGUAACACGUAUGCAAUCUACCUCUGACUGGGGAAUAGCCUUCCGAAAGGAAGAUUAAUACCGCAUAAUAUAAUGAAGUGGCAUCACUUUAUUAUCAAAACUCCGGUGGUUAGAGAUGAGCAUGCGCUCGAUUAGCUAGUUGGUGAGGUAACGGCUCACCAAGGCAACGAUCGAUAGGGGGUCUGAGAGGAUGAUCCCCCACACUGGUACUGAGACACGGACCAGACUCCUACGGGAGGCAGCAGUAAGGAAUAUUGGACAAUGGUGGAAACACUGAUCCAGCCAUGCCGCGUGAAGGAUUAAGGCCCUAUGGGUUGUAAACUUCUUUUAAACGGGAAAAAACCCUUCUACGUGUAGAGGGCUGAUGGUACCGUAAGAAUAAGGAUCGGCUAACUUCGUGCCAGCAGCCGCGGUAAUACGAAGGAUUCGAGCGUUAUCCGGAUUUAUUGGGUUUAAAGGGUGCGUAGGUGGACUAAUAAGUCAGUGGUGAAAGCCCGCAGCUUAACUGCGGAACUGCCAUUGAUACUGUUAGUCUUGAGUACAGUUGAGGUGGGCGUAAUGUGUCAUGUAGCGGUGAAAUGCUUAGAUAUGACACAGAACACCGAUUGCGAAGGCAGCUCACUAAGCUGUAACUGACACUGAGGCACGAAAGCGUGGGGAGCAAACAGGAUUAGAUACCCUGGUAGUCCACGCCCUAAACGAUGAUUACUCGAUGUUGGCGAUACACUGUCAGCGUCUAAGCGAAAGCAUUAAGUAAUC
rnacentral:rRNA from 1 species